UUCUGGUGUGUAUGUAUGCUUUGUUCGCUGU
rnacentral:piRNA from 1 species